UGUUAUAUAUAUAUUGUACAUGUUAAAUCGACGAAAAACUAAAUUGGCUUUAAGAUUAUGAAAACGUAUACAGUGUUCUACGGAGCCCCAGACAUGACAUGUAAAAAAAUAUAUAUAUAUACUAGUUCGUGCAUGAGCUACUAAUUUGUGUACGAAAUAGUUACAGCGUGCGCACGAAGAAGCAGUGCCUCCGUACUGGACUUGAGGGUAACCAAGUCGAACGCAUUUUUAUGGACUUGUUACAAACGACGCAGCCGAAAAGGCAAGACACAUGCGAUGGCUUCAGGGAAUUCAACACCCGCAAGUCGAGCGUCUUUUAAGAUUGCGAAGAAGAAAGGAGAAGGUGAUCAGCCUACUGUCCAACCCCAGCACUUGGUAUUUCUAAGUGGUCACCCAUCCAAGUACUAGCCAAGACAGACACUGCUUAGCUUCUGAAAGCAGACAAGUUCAGACAUUCUCAGGGAGGAGUAAUUGAACCUAUAAAUUGUUUUCAUGUGAUUAUGAAAACUUCCAAGAACCGACUGAGUGGUUGUGAAACCACGUAUGUUAUGAAAACAAACUUGACUGACUAAAUUGUCUUCAAUGAAUAUUAAAAACGUACCUUAAAAACACACAUAGUAUAGUAUUUUUCAAAAACACGUACACAACACUGACUGAAGAAUAUACUGCCUUCAAUGAUUACAAAAACACAUACGCUACAAAAACAUUGCAAUCCACAUAUGUUCAGUUGAUUGAAAUUGUUUUCAGUGAGUAUGAAAACACGUUCUUUUACGUUGACUGAACACCAAACCAUCUUCAAUAAUUACAAAAAAAGAUGUAUGUGUAAGAUGUACUGUAUGUUUCAAAGACAUCCUGUAAAAAUGCACAUUAAAAGUUGAAUUAUUUUUCCAUGUAUGAAAGUGACCUCAUAACUCCUGUGUGUAAACAGAACGCCCUCGUUGUUUUCUUGCAUCACGACAGUAUAAUUAUUUUAGCGUUGCUGCUGCUCUACUCUAGGUGUUUUUUCUACUGUGUUUUUGUGCAGGACUCCUGAGCUGCUGUCUGCUUUGGGGUAGAUACUCUCUAAUUCCUCCUUUUUUUUGUGCCAGAGGCAAAGAGCAUAAGAAUGAGCCAACAAACAAGCUUUGCUUAGAGUUUAAAGUGAACUUGUUCUGCUCUUGUAGCGGAAUUUGAGCCGUAACCCUUCUUUAAUCCAGCACUCUGCUUGUAAGAUUAAGCGCGGAUCUGCCGGAAUCGUCUGUUUGUUCGUCUGUUUUUAUGCAACUUCCCGUGGAACGGCUGAGGUUUUCUGUCUUUGUCAUAUUUCAUUCACUUUUAACAAAACGUGUUAUUUGUAUGCGGGGCCUUAAUCAGGGGUGGGUAGUAACGUGCUACAUUUACUCAAGGAACAUUUUGAGGAAACGAUACUUUUAACAAUAAUCUACGUGCCGCUCACAACUUUCAUUUAUCAAUAAUUGCGCCCACAAUCUAUUUUUAGACUUUCGUUUUCGACUUCCGCGUUGUGCGCCGUUGCUCCAAUCCAUAGUAAUGUUUGACUCAAGUUCACCAAUCAAACGCCAGAAGAAAGUCACGUCUACAAGUCAUGUCAAGUCUUUUAUUAGGCUUUGCAGGCCAAUCCAAGUGAGUCGUGACAUCCGCGCGGGACUCGUGUUUACAUUAAAACUACGAAAAUCAACAGCUUUAACAUUCAGCGUAAUUUUGUCACUGCCCAAACUUGGACAUUUCAGCCACCUUCUAACUUUAGAAAACACCAAGCGGUAAGUUUUCGCUGUUGUUUUGGCAGUUCAUAUGGCGACGUUAACCCUAUUUAAUGGUCACAAGUAACUG